CAAAUUUCAUCUCCCCUUUUUUCCCUGUUGGAGUAGCGUGGACCUUCCACACGCUUUUUCUAAGGGUGCAUCUACAUCUGUGGAGCAUGCCAGCUGCCAGUCACGAAAGCAUUUCCAAAAAGGUACAAAAAUCAUUGGUGGUACGCAAGCAGGGGGCUCCUUUCUCAAAAUCGGUCCAGAUGUUGUUUACGUCCGGGGACCGACGGCACGACUCCGCUGGUUGCAGUGGCCAUCGAAAGCCCUGCAUAGCGUCGUCGUCUCGUUCCAUGAAUACCUACGAGUUCUCCCCCGUCUUCUGAAGAGAGAAAGCCAGCGACAUGAAUAAACGAGAUGAGUGGAGGGGAUAAAUUUAAGGGGGAAGUGUUUGCGGAAAAGCAUGAAUGGUGUUUGGAAAAAAAGCGAAAUUCCAUUUUUGAAUUAAUGGGUAGAUUGCCUUCCAGUGCUCGGACCAGGGGUUUCGUUUUCGGACCUCCGAACCGACGAAUUGGUCUGUUAUUGGCGAGGCCGCUUCCCCUGAAAAAGAAAUCAGGAACCUGACAGUAUAGCUUAUGGGUGUUUAUGUAUACGGUACAAUUCAAAUAACACAACUACCUCC
rnacentral:lncRNA from 1 species